GACGAACGCUGGCGGCGUGCCUAAUACAUGCAAGUAGAACGCACAGUUUAUACCGUAGCUUGCUACACCAUAGACUGUGAGUUGCGAACGGGUGAGUAACGCGUAGGUAACCUGCCUGGUAGCGGGGGAUAACUAUUGGAAACGAUAGCUAAUACCGCAUAAUAUUGAUUAUUGCAUGAUAAUUAAUUGAAAGGUGCAAUUGCACCACUACCAGAUGGACCUGCGUUGUAUUAGCUAGUAGGUGAGGUAACGGCUCACCUAGGCGACGAUACAUAGCCGACCUGAGAGGGUGAUCGGCCACACUGGGACUGAGACACGGCCCAGACUCCUACGGGAGGCAGCAGUAGGGAAUCUUCGGUAAUGGACGAAAGGCUGACCGAGCAACGCCGCGUGAGUGAAGAAGGUUUUCGGAUCGUAAAGCUCUGUUGUAAGAGAAGAACGGGUGUGAGAGUGGAAAGUUCACACUGUGACGGUAUCUUACCAGAAAGGGACGGCUAACUACGUG
rnacentral:rRNA from 1 species